AGCAGCCGCCGCGGGAAAACGGAGGGAGCUAGCGUUGUUCGGAAUUACUGGGCGUAAAGCGCACGUAGGCGGCUACUCAAGUCGGGGGUGAAAGCCCGGGGCUCAACCCCGGAACUGCCCUCGAAACUAGGUAGCUAGAAUCUUGGAGAGGUGAGUGGAACUGCGAGUGUAGAGGUGAAAUUCGUAGAUAUUCGCAUGAACACCAGUGGCGAAGGCGGCUCACUGGCUCGAAACUGACGCUGAGGCACGAAAGCGUGGGGAGCAAACAGGAUUAGAUACCCGCGUAGUCCCUGUCUCUUAUAC
rnacentral:rRNA from 1 species